rnacentral:rRNA from 1 species
AACGAACGCUGGCGGCAUGCCUAACACAUGCAAGUCGAACGAGACCUUCGGGUCUAGUGGCGCACGGGUGCGUAACGCGUGGGAACCUGCCCUUAGGUUCGGAAUAACUCCCCGAAAGGGGUGCUAAUACAGGAUAAUGUCUUCGGACCACAGAUUUAUCGCCUUUGGAUGGGCCCGCGUUGGAUUAGCUAGUUGGUAGGGUAAAAGCCUACCAAGGCGACGAUCCAUAGCUGGUCUGAGAGGAUGAUCAGCCACACUGAGACUGAGACGCGGCCCAGACUCCUACGGGAGGGGGCAGAGGGGAAUAUUGGACAAUGGGCGGAAGCCUGAUCCAGCAAUGCCGCGUAAGUGAUGAAGUCCUUAAGGUUGUAAAGCUCUUUUACCCGGGAUGAUAAUGACAGUACCGGGAGAAUAAGCACCGGCUAACUCCGUG